GGUGAACAUCGACCCACUCGGAUCGUCCGGCACGUACCUGCCGGUGGGAAGGAAAAU
rfam:Actinomyces turicensis ACS-279-V-Col4 genomic scaffold supercont1.1, whole genome shotgun sequence.